AAUGCACAUAUGAAGGAGAGUGUACAGUCUAGAUGUAUAAGGAUAUGCCUGUCUGUCUCUGAAUGUAAAUGAAACACAUUGUGCUUUAUUCCUGAGACACAUAGCAUUGGCUCAAUCAUGAAACAAUGUUCUACUUGAAGGUUCUCUUCCUUUCCUGCAACCCAUUUGUCAUUCUCUGUGAAUCUUUCACUGAUGUUAAUGUUGAAAUUUGAACAUUUUCCAUAUUUAUAAUGCAAAAUAUAUCCUUGCUUACAAGUAUUGAAAUUUUAUAGGCUUUUUUUGUAACUUUCACCUAUCAUCAAAGGUACAUUUAGUUUGUUUCUUUUUGGUGUUAGAAAUUGAUCUCAGGACCUUACAUGUGUCAGCCAGAUGUUCGUACCACCAAGAUAUAGUCCUGGUACAAAGAUGUAAUUGGUAAAUUGCUAUAAAUUAAUUUUAAUGUUCAUUCAGUGAAGGAGUUUGAUGAAUGGCCUCACUUUGAACUGGCCUUAUUGCAUAGACCAGCCUGGACACUGUGCACAGGGCAAUCCUGAAAUUCCUUGUAAUCCUCUUAUAUCAGCCUCUCAAGUGCUGGGGUAACAGACUUGUACUACAAAAAUGGGCUGAAUCUCUACCUUUUGUAUUUAGUAACCAGUUACCUUGUUAUACCUCAAUUUUCAUUGCAUUUCAAUAUAUAUGAAAUAUAUAUUCUUUUCCACAUUAACUUUUUUUACUCCCUAAUAGAACUUCUAGUAUUCAAGUAAAAAGAUACAAUUUGGUAUCUGUGAACUAUAGGUUUAUAAUUACAAUUUAUAAAUUCCUUGUCCAUAGAAUGCUCAAAUAAACCUUAAUUUUCAUUUAUAUUUUAGUAAUUCAUAACCCUCCUUUUAUAUUGUACUAAAUAUUUAUGUGUGAAACCAGUUUCAAGAUUCUAAAUGCUGUAUGCAAGAAAAAUGAACACAUUGCUAUGAAUAACCAGAUGUUUGUGAGUGGCGAUUUGCAGGCUUCCUCUUUGAGCUCUCCUUUAAAGCAAUAGAAAAGUAUAGUAUAGGAGGUCCUGCAGGACAAUCCAUGCUACAGUUCUGUGAUCAUUUUGACAGGGUUUAAUAGUCUAGCAUGAAUGUUACUGAGUGACUAUAUUUGGAUGUACUUGAGGAUUGAUGGUGAUGACAUGCAGUUACUACAUAAUGAACUUCAGUUAGACUGUUUAUGACAGGAGCUGUGAAAAUGCAGGUUGAGUGUGUCUGAACUUCAGGGCAAUUUGUCAUUAUUUAGGAGACAGUGACUUUUGAAGAUGUAGCUCUGAACUUCACCCCAGAAGAGUGGGAUUUGCUGAAUGAAUCCCAAAAGAAUCUCUACAGAGAUGUGAUGUGGGAAAUAUCUAUGAAUAUUAAUGCUACAGGAAGAAUAUGGUGGCCAACAAAUUAAAGAAGAGGACAAAAAUGGCUCAAGAAAUCUAAGCUGAUCGACACACAAAAGAGAAAGGGAACAUUCCUUAAGUUCAGUGUUUGAGCAAACUACUACAACAAAGAUGUGAUGAAGACAAUUAUUUGAGAAUUGAAGAGCAGCAAUAUAAAUGUAAUGAAGAUGUAGAGACCUGCAGUGAUUUCCAGUCCUUUCAGAAGCAUGAAAUGAGAAAGACUGGAGAGAAACUCUGUCAAUAUGGGCAAUGUGGGGAGGACAGCUCUGAUCUUAGGGAAUAAACUCACCCUGAGAAGAAAAUUUUUUCAGCAUUCAUGAAUUUAAUGUCACUUGGAUUCAUCAUGGAUCUCAGUUUCCUUCAUCAGAGGGCUAUCAUAUGAUGUGACAACCUGACAAGAAGGUUAAGUGCAAGGAAGGAUGAGAAAUGAAGAGAGACAAGAGGUUCACAAGAUCCUGAUUUUACCGUGGUUAUUAUUCAAAUGUCUGUAAUUAGUAGCACUGUUAGUAAACACAUUCAUAAACAGUUAAGUGUAUUCCAAAAUCAUAAAUAUAUAUUAAAUGUAAUGUGUAUAAGUUUCACUGUGUGUAAAAUAUUACUCUCUAAUAUAGGAAAAAUACAUUGAGGCAGUUAUUUCUACACACUUGAUUCCGAGGUAGAAUAUUGCUGGUAAAUUCUACAAUGUAAUUCCUAAUUUUACUCCCUUAUCUUAUUGUUUUAUCAUUUUUAAAAAUAAAAUGGUUCAGACAUAGGCAAGGUUGUGAUUUCAUGUGAUUUAAGCAGUCCAGGAACCUGAGGCAAGAUGAUUUCAACUUUUCAAUUUAAGCCCAGGCUUGGCAACUUGGAAACAUAGAGAAAACCUGUCUGCAAAUAAAAAAUGGUACUGUGGAGAUAGCUCAGUAUAAAUAUGCUGAAUUCCAAUCUCAGUCCUGAAAACUUAAAUCAGACCUUGUUUCCUGAUAAUGCAGUAAAACCAUUGGCCUCAUCUCAAACUCUGAGAAGACCUGGCCUGUUCUCACCCAUCCCUCCUCAGAGUUUAGGAAUCAUGUCCAGAGUACAUAGCCUCAAAUCACGGAGUACAUUUCCACUCUACUAAUGGACAUAGGAGUAAAUUUGCAAAAAAUACAGGUAAUCAAUCCCUGUUCUCUAAAGACAAGAGCAACCUCAUUUUAAGUGCAGUAAUGCCCUUGAGAAUUUCAGCAGCCCAUAUGUAAAACAAAAAUGGCAUGUAUCAACUUGUUCAUCAGUUCAGAUUUUAGAUCACUUUCCUUUUCCCUUCAGUCUCAAAUAUUUGGUCUUUCAUUACCAGCUAUUGGGUGAUGCAGGAAGGCUGUGUGCUUUGUGAUCUGGAAAGAGGCAUAGGGAGAUCAGGACAUUUAAUUAUAUGGGGUCCUCUUUUAUAUUUUUGCUGCCAUAUUUUGGACUGAGGGUCCCCUGCUGAUGAAGGCCCCUAGAAUUUGGGCCUGGUUGCUGGAUGACUUCUGCAGACAGCAGGAAUCUAUGCACAAGGAAACAUCCUAGAGGCUAGGAAGUUAAGUUUGGUGCCAGGGGCUCUGAGCUGGAUACAAAUGGACUAGAUGUUAUCUGUUGAAGUUGGAGUCUUCCCAUGAAACUCGUGAAGUCUGUGACAUGACUUCGGUACUGGCUUCAACCUGAUCCCUUCAGGCCUGUGGCAUGAGGCUUGACUGGCAGUGGGGAGCACAGUGCCCUAUCCUGUUCCUGAUUCAGAUUCAGCAACAUGCAAAGUGGAACACAUUCCACAAAGUCUCCUUCAGCUCUGUGUCUUGACACUAUAUGGUGACUUCAUUUGUGCAUGUGGAGUCUACAGGUUCAUCUGCAGUUUCUACAUAGAAACAUAUUUUUUCCUCCAUCCCCAGUCAAUUUUUUAUCUCAAAAGUCAGUCCUGAUUACCCUGCAUUAACUGAAUGUUUUGGCAGCAAAGAGUCCAGUUCACGAAGUGAAGAGUGAACCAAGCAUUUAUAAGGUAAGAAUUAAAUUUCCAUUUUCCAGAUCAUAUCCACAUGGACAUACACAAUACAUGAUACAUGUGACUGUUUUGAAGGCUGUUUCCAUCUUUGACAUAAUUUGUGGCAUGGAGUGCUCUUAAACCUUGUUUCACAAACAUGUAUCCUGACUGAGGUAGAACAUGUUUCAUGGAAAUAAUACAGAAACUUGGGGAUACACUGAAUGUGUACUUUACCACCAUCUCAAUCAUAGGAAAGAAAUUAGCAUGAAAGAAAAACCUAAUAUUGUGGGCCACAGGGGAUGAUGGAGCACAGCGAUAUCAACGCCUGGACCAAGGAAGGACUCCCUGAGAUCAGAUUGUCAUAGGUUGAAAAUAAAGACUGGGCUGUGACCUACUGAAUAUGACAGAAGUUCAAAGAACAUUAGACCUGAAGAUGCAAUGGAAAUGUAUGGAGAAAUCUGUUGGUAUCAACCCUUCAAACAUCGUAUUUACAAAGGUGAAUUCAAACAGUUGAAUUUUGGCAAGAAACAAUCUAACAUUUCCAACUUUCAUUUGACAAAUGUCUAUUCAUUUUAGAUACCCAUUUAUUCAUCUUUAAAUUUAGGAGAUCUCAUUUCUAUUUCAUUUCUUUAUGUAUCCUACAUAUUAGUACUUUUAUGAUAAAAUACUGGCAAAAAGUAGUUCCCUCACUAUGUGUUGUCUCUUCAUCCUAUGACCGGCUUCUCUUCCAGUGUAAAACCUUUGUAGUAAAAUGUCACAGCUGUUGAUUCUUUGUUAUGUUUUCUGUGCAACUGAGGUUUUGUUCAUAAAGUUGGCCUCAACCAAUGUCAUCAAGACUUCUUAUCCUAUCUUCCCACACAUUUUUGACUUUACUAUUUACACCUUUGAUCAACUUCAAUUAUAGUUCAGUGCAUGGUGAAAUCAUGGGUGUAGUUUACCCUUUGGUAUAUGGAAGCCAGAUUUUCCAACUCCAUUUAUGUAGGUUUACUUCUUCUAGUUAAUGUGUUUAGUUCCAUUUUCAAAGAUUGAAUUGGCUGUGUAUGCUUGUAGGUAUUUCUGAAUAUUUCAAUUUGUUCCAAUGGUUCUCAGGUCAUUCUCAUCUUCUUUUCCAGUAGCAAGUUGUAUUUUUAAAUCACAGUAGCUUUGCAGCCCAAUUUCAAGGCAGAGAUUGUGAUGUUCCUUGUCCUGCAUUUGUUCCAAGAAAUGUUUCUGGUAUUCUAGGUCUCUUCUGCUUCCAAAUAAAUUUUUAGGAAAGUUUUCUCUAAAUCUGUGACAUAUGCUAUGUAAUUUCACUGUGGAUUGCAUUAAAUCUGUAUAAUAACUCUGAAAGUAUGGACAUUUUUACAGAAUUCAUUCUUCCACAAGAAUAAGGGAUAUCAACACAUUUUCUGCUAUCCACUUCAAUCAAUCUUUUAGAAAGCAAUACUUUUCAAGAAGAGGUCUUUUUCUUUGUUAGAUUUAUUCCCAUGUAUGUUCUUUUCUUGUGUGGAGUUAUUACCAUAAAUUUUUCCAGUGCCUCCUGUAAAAAAUCUAAAAAUUAAGAAGUGUGUUUA